rnacentral:rRNA from 1 species
CCUACGGUGCGCAGCAGUCGAGAAUCAUUCACAAUGGGGGAAACCCUGAUGGUGCGACGCCGCGUGGGGGAAUGAAGGUCUUCGGAUUGUAAACCCCUGUCAUGUGGGAGCAAAUUAAAAAGAUAGUACCACAAGAGGAAGAGACGGCUAACUCUGUGCCAGCAGCCGCGGUAAUACAGAGGUCUCAAGCGUUGUUCGGAAUCACUGGGCGUAAAGCGUGCGUAGGCUGUUUCGUAAGUCGUGUGUGAAAGGCGCGGGCUCAACCCGCGGACGGCAGAUGAUACUGGGAGACUAGAGUAAUGGAGGGGGAACCGGAAUGCUCGGUGUAGCAGUGAAAUGCGUAGAUAUCGAGAGGAACACUCGUGGCGAAGGCGGGUUCCUGGACAUUAACUGACGCUGAGGCACGAAGGCCAGGGGAGCGAAAGGGAUUAGAUACCCCUGUAGUC